CCCAUCACCAAUGUUUCUUGGAAUUGGACAGAUGGCAGCCACUAUACUUAUCUUGUAUGUGUCAAAAUUAAAUAAGAUUGUUCACUUCCCUGAUUUUGACAAAAGUAUACCUGUUAAGUUGUUUCCUCUGCCUCUGAUUUAUGUUGGAAACCACAUAAGUGGAUUAUCAAGUACCAGCAAACUCAGUUUGCCGAUGUUUACAGUGCUCAGGAAGUUUACCAUUCCACUUACUUUACUGCUGGAAAUCAUCAUACUUGGGAAACGAUACCCACUGAGUAUUAUAGUCAGCGUAUUUGCCAUCAUUCUUGGGGCUUUCAUAGCAGCUGGGUCUGAUCUGUCUUUUAAUCUGGAGGGCUAUACCUUCGUAUUGCUAAAUGAUAUCUUCACAGCGGCCAAUGGAGUUUACACAAAGCAGAAAAUCGAUCCAAAGGAGUUGGGAAAAUACGGUGUCCUUUUCUACAAUGCUUGUUUCAUGGUGGUUCCAACAGUUAUUAUUAGCUUUUCUACUGGAGACUUUCAGCAGCUGGCAAAACGUGGAUUAAAUAUAGUUAUGAUAAGCAGAACUCUUGAAAAACUGCAGAGAGUAGCCUCUGAAGUUGAGCAGGCCACAGGUCAAAAGGUGAAGGUUAUCCAAGCUGAUUUCACUAAAAAUUCAGUAUAUGAGAAUAUUGAAAAAAGUCUGCAAGGCUUGGAUAUUGGUGUUCUGGUUAACAAUGUUGGAAUGCUUCAUAAUCCUCUUCCGUGCCGUUUCCUUAAUGGACCAGACAUAGAUGAGAACCUCAUCAACUGCAACAUUAUUUCUACUACAAAGAUGACAAAAAUCAUUUUGAAACAAAUGGAGACAAGACAGAAGGGUCUUAUUCUGAAUCUGUCCUCUGGUCUGGGUAUUUUCCCUUGCCCAUUAUACACAAUGUACUCAGCUUCUAAGAGGAAUGAUCCAAAGUUGUCAAGUUUCUGAAUAUUUCUCAAAGUUCUAACUGCUAAAACCAGUCUUAGAAGAAACUCAACUUUUACACAAAGAAGCUUUUAUAAGCACUUUCUCCAAAGCACUACAAGCAGAGUAUAAGGCAAAGGGAAUUAUCAUACAGGUGAUGGUAUAUCUUGAUGUAUUUGCCUUCAUUUUAACAAAUUCUUCAAGAAUAUCUGAGAUGCCUAAAUCUGUAUAGUGUAGACAACCUUGGGGAAGUGCUGGGUGACACUGUCAAAGCUCUGUCUCCUCCCUGUAUGCAGCUUUUUUCCUUAGUCUACCAUAGUACCAUUACUUAUCCCACAUAGUGCCUUAAUCCAUUGCAAAGAUCUGUUAUAAUUUGUCAGAUGCUGUGGGAUUCUGCAGAAUGAAUGGCCUUAUGUAAAAGUUAGAUGACAUUACACCAUUAUUAUGAUUUCUUAUUUUAGGUAGUGGCUCCUUACAGUGUUUCUACUCCGAUGACAAUGUACCAAAAACCCGGGCUUAUUACAAAGACAGCAGAAAAGUUUGUUAGUGAAUCACUGGAUUAUGUCACCUUUGGAGAUGAGAUUUUUGGAUGUUUAGCUCAUGAAAUGCUGGUAAUUGAAUUUGAUACUGUGUAAAUGGGUCCCAAAGGCUAAACCAAGGCUGUCUGGGCUCAGCAGCUGCUUUUUACUGAUUUCAGAGACCUUAAGGUUGGACAUCAAAUAAGAAACAGUGGCUAGGUUGUUAAGGCUAAUAUGGCACCAGUAAACUAUGAAGGGAGGAAUACACAAGUAAAGCAUAGUGGUAUCAGCACAGUGUGGCUUUCUCCGCUUUUGUGUCUUGAGCUAAGCUCAGUUUGAUAUCUGGUUAGUCUUUAUCGUUUCUCUAGCUGCCUGCUUUCACGACCCUAUUAGGAGCAUUUCUGAGACCCCUACUCCUUUAUAAAAAUGGGCCAGCAGAUUCAAAAGUUAUUAGUGGGGAAGGGGAAGGACAUAAAACCAGACUGUGCUAUCACAUAAGCAUCAUUUCCUUAGGAUAUCAAGCUAACAAAAUAGAAUAAAUAUUUAUACAUGGCAGCUGUUAAUGAUGAACAUUAAAUGGAAGUAUAGGGAAGAGAACAGAUUUGCUGAAAACUGAGAGGAAUUAACAUUUCCCUCUAAGAGAAAUGCAUAUACUGAAAGUAUAAAGUAAAAGUUUUUGCAUUUGCUGUUUUCUAUGACCUUUCUGAAUACUCAGUUAAUUUCUCUCAAGACGUUUCUAUAACCCUUUGCCUUUGUAUUGUUUUUGCUUGAUUAUUCC